CAAUCGAAGUAUGUGGAGGAGGCAAGGAGCCAGCUCGAAGAAAGCAUCUCACAGCUCCGACACUAUUGCGAGCCAUACACAACCUGGUGUCAGACAGCUAUGACUAUCUCCAAAAUGCACCUCCUGGAUUUUUUCCGAGACUUGGUGUUAUUGGUUUUGCUGGCCUUAUUGGACUCCUUUUGGCUAGAGGUUCAAAAAUAAAGAAGCUAGUGUAUCCGCCUGGUUUCAUGGGAUUAGCUGCCUCCCUCUAUUAUCCACAACAAGCCAUCGUGUUUGCCCAGGUCAGUGGGGAGAGAUUAUAUGACUGGGGUUUACGAGGAUAUAUAGUCAUAGAAGAUUUGUGGAAGGAGAACUUUCAAAAGCCAGGAAAUGUGAAGAAUUCACCUGGAACUAAGUAGAAAACUCCAUGCUCUGCCAUCUUAAUCAGGUAAAGAACAAGAAAUUUCUGUGAUUAUUUUCAGCAUUGUAGUGCCAGCUGAAAUGACUUGUUUUUAAUUAAUUUAAUUUAAUUAAUUAUAACAGUUUCAAUUUGAUGUGAAAAUAUUUUAUUCCAUCUUUUAGUUUCUGGGCUUAAAUGCUGUGACUUAUUUAUUUGUGUUUGUUCCACUAAUGUUACCUGGGUUUUUUAGACAAGCUAGAACCAGACAGUUGGGAUUUGUCUACAAAUGUAUUUCAAACAAUUGAAAAGUGUCAUUAUUCCUUAGGUUUUUUUC
rnacentral:sRNA from 1 species